AGGACUAACGCUGGCGGCGUGCCUAACACAUGCAAGUCGAACGAGGGGUAGCAAUACCCCUAGUGGCAGACGGGUGAGUAACACGUAGUCAACCUACCUCUUAAUGGGGGAUAACUAGCCGAAAGGUUAGCUAAUACCGCAUACGAUCGUCGAGUGGCAUCACACGACGAUGAAAGGAGCAAUCCGUUGAGAGAGGGGACUGCGUCCCAUUAGUUAGUUGGUGGGGUAAUGGCCUACCAAGACUCCGAUGGGUAGCUGGCUUGAGAGAGCGACCAGCCACACUGGAACUGAGACACGGUCCAGACUCCUACGGGAGGCAGCAGUGAGGAAUUUUCCGCAAUGGGGGAAACCCUGACGGAGCGACGCCGCGUGUGGGAAGAAGGCCUUCGGGUCGUAAACCACUAUCGAGGGGACGAUAUUGACGGUACCCCUGGAGGAAGCCCCGGCUAACUACGCGCCAGCAGCCGC
rnacentral:rRNA from 1 species